AUGCUUCUCCUAAAGAUUAAGCCAUGCAUGCCUUUGAAUAGAAGACGCAAUCUCUCUGAAUCUGCGAACGGCUCCGCAUACCAGUUGUAAACCAUAGCAAGCCAACCUUGGGAAGACCCGAUCAAAAGGGAUGACCCUCGGUUGUAUACGGAUACCCAUGGUAAUUCUGAGGCUAAUACAAGGAYUUAUGACUUGGCUAACCGGGAAACUGGAAGGCUGGGGGUUGUGUGAAGCUUUGCUGCGACACCGACCUAUGAGAUGAUGCACGAUCAGACCACCAUACCAAACAGCCUUGUUCUGCGGCAAGUACCUUCGGGGAAAGCCAAUGGGCUUGGCUGGGUGGCUCUUGCUUUGUGCUUYUGACCUAUCAACUAGAUGGCAGCGUAAGGGACAUGCUAUGGUUACAACGGGUACAGAGGAUAAGGGUUCGAUCCUGGAGAGUGGGCCUGAGAGAUUGCUCACACUUC
rnacentral:rRNA from 1 species